UACAGAGGUCUCAAGCGUUGUUCGGAUUCAUUGGGCGUAAAGGGUGCGUAGGCGGCGCGGUAAGUCGGGUGUGAAAUCUCGGGGCUUAACUCCGAAACUGCAUUCGAUACUGCCGUGCUUGAGGACUGGAGAGGAGACUGGAAUUUACGGUGUAGCGGUGAAAUGCGUAGAUAUCGAGAGGAACACCAGUGGCGAAGGCGAGUCCCUGGACAACACCUGACACUGAGGCACGAAAGCCGGGGGGAGCAAAACAGG
rnacentral:rRNA from 1 species